rnacentral:rRNA from 1 species
AAAAAUUUAAAUUAAUUUACUAAAAAAUUAAUAGUUAUGUUCUUUAAAUUUAAAAAAUUUGGCGGUAUUUUAGUCUUAUUAGAGGAAUCUGUUUAUUAAUUGAUAAUCCACGAUUAAUUUUACUUAUUUUAAUUAAUUCAUAUAUCGCUGUCAUGAAUAUAUUUAAAAAUUUAUUUUCUUUAAUUAUUUUAAUAAUUUAUGUUAAGUCAAGAUGUGGUUUAUAAAUAAGAAUAUAAUGGGUUACAUUAAAUUUUAUUUUUGGAUUUAAAAUGAAAAUUAAAAUGAAAUUGGAUUUAAUAGUAAGUUUAAUUAAUUUAUUAGUAUGAAUAAAGAUCUA